rnacentral:lncRNA from 1 species
CAUGACCCAAGUUCCAAUAGAUAUUUCUAACUGGGUCAACUCUCGACCAAUUACAAUAGAUGUUUCUAAUUGGAUCAACUCUUGACCAAUUAAGAUACAUCUAUUAAUCCCAACUUAUUCAACCAAAAAAUCGAUAUUGCACUCUCGAUUCGAGUGAUAAUUAUAGAAGCAAACUAUGAUCCAAUAACAAUAAUGGAUCAAUAGACUUAAAAUUAUAGACAACCAUAAUAAUUCUGAUGAUUGAAAAUGCAAAGUGAACAAAUGCAAAAAUUGAUGUUGCACCGUUAGUGAAUUUGUUAAAUGCAAUCUAAUUCCUUCAACCUAUAUAAUUUUUCCUUUCCAUUUGUAACUUUCCUGACAAAGUUCACGUCUUUUAUAUUCGGAUUAGAGGGCAAAAAGACAAAACUUUUAAGCAUUUCAGAAAUUGGAAAGCUUGAAACCGUGGAUGUAAGUACAGCCUGUUGUUUACAUAAAACUAAAACAAAUAGGUAAAUACAUAGUAAAAUAAUAAAUGGAUGAACACCAACACAUCAAUGAAGAAGCUGAAAACCAUUAAAGACUCUCUAGAUUCCAGCUAUCGAAAUAGCCAAGCAACCAAACAAAAUGAGGCGAAGAUCUAGUGAGUCCCGAAGAAUCGAAAGGUAGUAAUAAUGAUAUCAAAAAAGUAAGUAAAUUUUAAAAGCAUCUAACCCUCCAUUGUGCGACAUCGUCGGUGUUCUUUUCUUUUUCUUAUUCUUCAACGGACUGGGUAGGAUUUGGAGGGAAGAAUUUGGGAAUUUUGGGGCAAGGGUUCAUAAAUGGCUGAUUUGAGGGUUUUUGGAUGUUAAGAAUGAACGAGUGUUUGGGAUAAAUGGAUGUUUCUGCAAGCUUCUUACCACGAACCAUAAAACUUGUUCAGUAUUGGGACAAUUAACUCAAAGAUGGAGAUAGUAAAUACAUAGAUAGAUACAUUUUGCCCCUGUUUAUUUUUCAUUUUUUUCGUAUUAAAAUGAGA